GAUGAACGCUGGCGGCGUGCCUAAUACAUGCAAGUCGAGCGAACGGACGAGAAGCUUGCUUCUCUGUUGUUAGCGGCGGACGGGUGAGUAACACGUGGAUAACCUACCUAUAAGACUGGGAUUACUUCGGGAAACCGGAGCUAAUACCGGAUAAUAUUUUGAACCGCAUGGUUCAAAAGUGAAUGACGGUCUUGCUGUCACUUAUCGAUGGAUCCCCGCUGCCUUAGCUAGUUGGUAAGGUAACGGCUUACCAAGGCAGCGAUGCAUAGCCGACCUGAGAGGGUGAUCGAGCAGCCUGGAAGUGAGGCACGGCCCAGACUCCGACGGGGGGACGCAGUAGGGAAUCUUCCGCGAUGGGGGAGAGCCUGACGGAGCAACGCCGCGUGAGUGAUGAAGGUCCCCGGAUGGUAAAGCUCUGUUAUUAGGGAAGAACAUAAGUGUAAGUAACUGUGCACAUCUUGACGGUACCUGAAGAGAAAGCCACGGCUAACUACGUG
rnacentral:rRNA from 1 species